UACGUAGGGGGCAAGCGUUGUCCGGAAUCAGUGGGCGUAAAGAGCGUGUAGGCGGCCAGAUAAGUCCGCUGUGAAAUCUCGAGGCUCAACUUCGAGCUGUCGGUGGAAACUGUCUGGCUAGAGUCCGGAAGAGGAGAAUGGAAUUCCUGGUGUAGCGGUGAAAUGCGCAGAUAUCAGGAAGAACACCCGUGGCGAAGGCGGUUCUCUGGGACGGUACUGACGCUGAGACGCGAAAGCGUGGGGAGCGAACAGG
rnacentral:rRNA from 1 species